UUCCCUUCGGGGGACAAGUAGAGUGGCGCACGGGUGAGUAACACGUAGGUAAUCUACCUUCGGGUGGGGAAUAACAACCGGAAACGGUUGCUAAUACCGCAUAAUGCAGCGGCACCUAAUGGUGACAGUUGUUAAAGCGGGGGAUCGCAAGAUCUCGCGCCUGAAGAGGAGCCUGCGGCGGAUUAGCUAGUUGGUAGGGUAAUGGCCUACCAAGGCGACGAUCCGUAACCGGCCUGAGAGGGCGGUCGGUCACACUGACACUGACAUACGGGUCAGACUCCUACGGGAGGCAGCAGUCGGGAAUUUUGGGCAAUGGGCGAAAGCCUGACCCAGCAACGCCGCGUGAAGGAUGAAAUCCCUCGGGAUGUAAACUUCGCAAGAACGGGAAGAAUAAGUGGAAGUUAAUACCUUCCAUGAUGACGGUACCGUUUGUAAGCUCCGGCUAACUCCGUGCCAGCAGCCGCGGUAAUACGGGGGGAGCAAGCGUUGUUCGGAUUUACUGGGCGUAAAGGGCGCGUAGGCGGCCUCCGCAAGUCAGUUGUGAAAUCUCCGAGCUUAACUCGGAAAGGUCAACUGAUACUGCGGGGCUAGAGUGCGGAAGGGGCAACUGGAAUUCUUGGUGUAGCGGUGAAAUGCGUAGAUAUCAAGAGGAACACCUGCGGCGAAGGCGGGUUGCUGGGCCGACACUGACGCUGAGGCGCGAAAGCUAGGGGAGCGAACGGGAUUAGAUACCCCGGUAGUCCUAGCCUUAAACGAUGAAUGCUUGGUGUCUGGGGUUAUAUAGUCCCCGGGUGCCGUCGCUAACGC
rnacentral:rRNA from 1 species